GCUAAGGCACGUUGACAGUAUCGCAUCGUCUCAAGACUAAGCCAUGCAUGUCUAAGUAUAAGUAUUAUACAGCGAAACUGCGAAUGGCUCAUUAAAACAGUUAUAGUUUAUUUGAUAAUCAAAUUUACAUGGAUACCCGUGGUAAUUCUAGAGCUAAUACAUGCUGUUGAGCCCGACUUUUUGGAAGGGCGGUAUUUAUUAGAUAACAAGCCAAUAUUCCUCUGGUCUAUUGUGGUGACUCAUGAUAACUGAUCGAAUCGCAAAGUCUAUGACUGCGAUAAAUCAUUCAAGUUUCUGCCCCAUCAGCUUUCGAUGGUAGUGUAUUGGACUACCAUGGCAUUUACGGGUAACGGAGGAUUAGGGUUCGAUUCCGGAGAGGGAGCCUGAGAAACGGCUACCACAUCUAAGGAAGGCAGCAGGCGCGUAAAUUACCCAAUCCCGAUUCGGGGAGGUAGUGACAAGAAAUAGCGGACAGAGACCCUCGUGGUUUCUGGAUUGCAAUGAGCCGAAUUUACACCCAUUAGCGAAGGUCGAUUGGAGGGCAAGUCUGGUGCCAGCAGCCGCGGUAAUUCCAGCUCCAAUAGCGUAUAUUAAAGUUGUUGCAGUUAAAAAGCUCGUAGUUGGAUUUCUGGGAGGAUGCUAAUGCAAGCUUCGUGCUAUGCAGAAGCGUCCUUCCAUCCUUCUGUUAGCGUGUCUUGGCAUUCAUUUGCUGGUCACGGGCUCAGAUAUUUUACCUUGAGAAAAUUAGAGUGUUUCAGGCAGGCUAAGCCGGAAUACAUUAGCAUGGAAUAAUGGAAUAGGACUGAGGUCUCUUUGUUGGUUUGAGGAACUACAGUAAUGAUUAAUAGGGACAGUUGGGGGCAUUAGUAUUUUAAUAGUCAGAGGUGGAAUUCUAUGAUUUGUUAAAGACUAACUAAUGCGAAAGCAUUUGCCAAGGAUGUUUUCAUUAAUCAAGAACGAAAGUUAAGGGGAUCAAGACGAUCAGAUACCGGU
rnacentral:rRNA from 1 species